CAAGACCUGUGAAAUCCUAAACACAUCUCCUGAAUGCAACUCAAGCACUUUAAUUUAAGCUAAGGCCUC
rnacentral:tRNA from 1 species